rnacentral:rRNA from 1 species
CGGCGUGCUUAACACAUGCAAGUCGAACGGCGAAAGGGACUUCGGUCCUGAGUAAAGUGGCGCACGGGUGAGUAACGCGUGGAUAAUCUGCCCUAUGAUCGGGAUAACGAGUUGGAAACGGCUGCUAAUACCGGAUACGCUCAAAAUGAACUUUUUGAGGAAAGAUGGCCUCUGCUUGCAUGCUAUCACGUAAGGAUGAGUCCGCGUCCCAUUAGCUUGUUGGCGGGUAACGGCCCACCAAGGCAACGAUGGGUAGCCGAUUUGAGAGGAUGAUCGGCCACACUGGAACUGAAACACGGUCCAGACUCCUACGGGAGGCAGCAGUGGGGAAUAUUGCGCAAUGGGCGAAAGCCUGACGCAGCGACGCCGCGUGAGGGAUGAAGGUUUUCGGAUCGUAAACCUCUGUCAGAAGGGAAGAAACUACGUUGUGCUAAUCAGCAGCGUACUGACGGUACCUUCAAAGGAAGCACCGGCUAACUCCGUGCCAGCCGCUGC